AACCUAUUCCCAGUUGAGCUGUGCAGCUGGACCGAAUCGGUACUGAACAAAAUUCCAAAAUUCUAAAAAUUUCAAUAAAUUUUCGUGGCAUUCAUUUGGUUUAGACUCACACCAAAAAUUCUUUUCGUAAUUUAAUGAUUAAGUGCAAAGUUUUCUUUUCUACUUUUUUAAAAACAAGCAAAAUCAAAAAUAUAGCUACUCAAACAGCCGAAAAUUGUGAAUACGUCAGCGGGAAAACGGCAUCUAUCUGCAACAUUAUCUACGGAUUGUUGGGGGAGGAAGAAAAUAAAAUUCAUUCGAACACUUCACGUAAAUACAUCAAAUACACCAAGGAGAAGACCAGCAAAUCGCACACAAUCGAGUUGAAGAAAUGCAUCUAUCGCUCAACAUCGGAGAUAGGAAUGGCAAAAGCACUAAAUUGGGUUAAAUAAGUUUAAAUCGGUAAAUUGAUAUGCAACAAGGAAAUAUAAAUAA